GCGGGAGUGGCGGAAAGGCUAGACGCGCCGGGUUUAGGUCCCGGUGUCCGAAAGGACAUGUGGGUUCGACUCCCACCUCCCGCACCA
rnacentral:tRNA from 1 species